GCGUUGUGGACAGGGCUCAUGAGUUAAUGCUCGACGACGGCGAUCCCCCCCGUCGCGCCUCGCUUUUUCAUUGCCGCUGACGUACUGGCGCAUUAUUAUUCUCAUUCACUCUUACGCAAAGAGAACUAACGAGCAGACCCCAUAUUUCUCACCUCCACAUAGGUCUGUUUGAUAGAAAUACGUCCAUGUGAAUUCAACCAAUCAUGAUAUAUUCUAUAUUUUCUAAUCCCUUUCCUGCUGGAACUUCUCAUUGCUGUAUGCAAUAAAUUGAAUUUCUAAUUUUCACUUUUAGGCGUGGGAGCUAUUGCUGCACGAGCUUCUCAUCAUGGAGCAGAUGAUAAAAUGGCAGACCCCAACUACAUCCCUGUGAGUCUCACCGACCCCCACAAACUCUCACGGGCACUUUCCACCAAAGCACAUUGCUGACGAGGAUGAUUUACCACAAGUUGGAGGCAGUUGGCAGGAAUACAUCGAUGAACGAACUGCUGGAUGGAACAAACAAUGGCAAUCUCUGCUGUUCUCUUCGUGGCUAUUGCUGUUACCAUCCAACAGACUGUAUUCUUCAAUGCCUUCCCACCUGAGUUGCCAGAAGAAAUGAAGACCUACCACCCAUGGAAGGACAGGAAAGAAUAAUUUCUUGCUGUCAACACGCAAUUAUUCAGUAGUGAUCAAACAACUUUAUGUUCCCAAUAGCCAGUUAAUUAUGUCAAGGAGAACAGAAUUUGCAAUUUCUUUCUGUAAGUUACUGUAAGCUUAUUUUAUUUCCCUGUUUGAUCAGUUUCCUUUUUUCUUGUACAUCAUCUAUGGAUUGAAAAGUCUGAAAAGUCUUUUUUAUUCUUUCGCAUUUUAAACAAGAUUGAUGCCUGUGAAAAGGCAGAGUCAAUAUUGAAUUGAAAAAUGAGUCUUUAUUUGUUGGAAAUAAAUUUUGUCAAUGUUAAAAUUUUGUUGAUAUUUUUUCUAUAUUUGGGGGGGGGGGGGGGGGAGAGGCUUUAGAGUUUCAUAAUUUUGCUCCCAGUCAUCAUUUAAAUGUCUACAAACAAGAACCCUAUAUUUAUCAGUGAAAUAAACGUCUGUAAUCAGCUAAAGAUAUUAUAUUUUAGCACAGGGUUGCGGUUGCCAUAGUCAGGGAUAGUCAGGAAAUAUUAGGGAAUUUUAAAAAGUCCAUGAAAGCUGGGGGCUGUCAAGGAUGAUGACAAAAGUGCCUGGGUAAAAUUUAAGUUCCCUUUAUUACUCUCUUCUUGUGUAGAUUUCAAGGUAUCUGCCAGUGUGCUUUACCUAUUGCUCACGCCUUGUAAAUCUCAUCCAUUUGUUUUGCAUCCAAAUGAAGGGUAACAUUUUAUUUCUAAAUGCCUGAUGGAG
rnacentral:lncRNA from 1 species